CCUACGGGUGGCAGCAGUGGGGAAUAUUGGGCAAUGGGCGAAAGCCUGACCCAGCAACGCCGCGUGAAGGAAGAAGGCUUUCGGGUUGUAAACUUCUUUUGACAGGGGAGCGCAGAAGACGGUACCUGUCGAUUAAGCAACGGCUAACUACGUGCCAGCAGCCGCGGUAAUACGGAGGUGGCAAGCGGUGUCCGGAUUUACUGGGUGUAAAGGGCGUGUAGCCGGGCAGAGAAGUCAGUUGUGAAAUCCGGGGGCUCAACCCCCGAACUGCAUUUGAAACUGUUGGUCUUGAGUAUCGGAGAGGCAGGCGGAAUUCGUGGUGUAGCGGUGAAAUGCGUAGAUAUUAGGAAGAACACCAGUGGCGAAGGCGGCCUGCUGGACGACAACUGACGGUGAGGCGCGAAAGCGUGGGGAGCAAACAGGAUUAGAUACCCCGGUAGUC
rnacentral:rRNA from 1 species